GAUGAAGAACGUAGCGAAAUGCGAUAAGUAGUGUGAAUUGCAGAAUUCCGUGAAUCAUCGAAUCUUUGAACGCACAUUGCGCCUCCUGGUAGUCCGGGAGGCAUGCCUGUUCGAGCGUCACCAAAUCCAACUCAAGCGGUUUUGCGCUUGGUCGUGGCGGAAGAGUCGGUCUGGUUGCCGUCUCCCCUCCGAAAAUCAACGGCGGAAAGUCACUGGCAGUCAGCGUAGUAGUAUCGUUUGCCGAACAUCCAGUGGCAUUCCUGCCGACGUACCCCCACAAUUCUCGUGAUUGACCUCGGAUCAGGUAGGGAUACCCGCUGAACUUAAGCAUAUCAAUAAGCGGAGGA
rnacentral:misc_RNA from 1 species